CAGCCCUGUGAAGGUGAGCAAAUCCCAAAAAUAACGUCCCAGUUCGGAUUGUAGUCUGCAACCCGACUACAUGAAGCUGGAAUCGCUAGUAAUCGCGGAUCAGAAUGCCGCGGUGAAUACGUUCCCGGGUCUUGUACACACCGCCCGUCACACCAUGGGAGUCGGAAAUGCCCGAAGCCGGUGACUCAACCUUUAAGGAGAGAGCCGUCGAAGGCAGGUCUGAUAACUGGGGUGAAGUCGUAACAAGGUAUC
rnacentral:rRNA from 1 species